rnacentral:tRNA from 1 species
GAAAAAUUAGUUAAAUCAUAAUAUUAGUCUGUCACGCUGAAGUUGUCUUAUGGACAUUUUUCU